rnacentral:rRNA from 1 species
UCGAGGAUCUUCGGCAAUGGGCGCAAGCCUGACCGAGCGACGCCGCGUGCGCGAUGAAGGCCUUCGGGUUGUAAAGCGCUGUCGAGGGGGAGGAAAGCCCGCAAGGGUCUGACCUAUCCCUGGAGGAAGCACGGGCUAAGUUCGUGCCAGCAGCCGCGGUAAGACGAACCGUGCAAACGUUGUUCGGAAUCACUGGGCUUAAAGGGCGCGUAGGCGGCUUGCCAAGUCAGGGGUGAAAUCUUUCGGCUUAACCGGAAAAGUGCCUUUGAUACUGGCGAGCUAGAGGGAGGUAGGGGCAUGUGGAACUUCCGGUGGAGCGGUGAAAUGCGUUGAUAUCGGAAGGAACGCCGGUGGCGAAAGCGACGUGCUGGACCUCUUCUGACGCUGAGGCGCGAAAGCUAGGGGAGCGAACGGGAUUAGAUACCCCCGUAGUCC